rnacentral:rRNA from 1 species
GGGGACGUAACAAAGCGACCCAGGAAUGCUUGGGCGUGCCUCCACCCACGCCGGCGUCGGCGGGCGUAUUUCGCCUCACAGUAGGUCGCCGCGACCCGUUGCUUUUGGGGACGUCGAAGGCCCGGACGGAUUGGUACCCUACCGGCUGGGGAUGCGGCUUCGGCUUCUCCUCUUGUCCGGUGGGCGAAACCGCCGGUGUCCUGGCUGCCCUGCGACGGUCGUAGAGACGAGCCCCUCCCAUUCGUGGGGGGCGGCUCUCGCGGCGUGCAAAAGGUCGGUGAUCCACCCGACCCGUCUUGAAACACGGACCAAGGAGUCUAACAUGUGUGCGAGUCAGUGGGCGCACUAAACCCAGAGGCGUAAUGAAAGUGACACGGGUUCGGCUGUCGCCUCGUGUGGCAGCCGGACUCAGGGCCGAUCCCUCACCGGUUGCCCUCGCCUCUCUCCCGCGUCUCGGUAAGCCGGGUGAGCUAUUUUCCCCGGCCUCUGCUGCGGGGCCCGGGGGGAGGCGGGGUGCGAUGGUGUCCGUAAAAAAGAGCCUGCUGUUGCAGGGGGGCGCAGGCCCGGGACUUGCCAGGACGCCGCGAGACUGUCACUUUGCUGUGAGGCUCCAGGGCCGAUCAGCGGGUCAUGCGUGCAGUCGGCAAGUACCAUGAGCAGACAUGUUGGGACCCGAAAGAUGGUGAACUAUGCCUGGCCAGGAUGAAGCCAGAGGAAACUCUGGUGGAGGUCCGUAGCGAUUCUGACGUGCAAAUCGAUCGUCGGAGCUGGGUAUAGGGGCGA